rnacentral:rRNA from 1 species
AAUGUCUGGGAAACUGCCUGAUGAGGGGGAGUAACUACUGGAAACGGUAGCUAAUACCGCAUAACGUCGCAAGACCAAANAGGGGGACCGUUCGGGCCUCUUGCCAUCGGAUGUGCCCAGAUGGGAUUAGCUAGUAGGUGGGGUAACGGCUCACCUAGGCGACGAUCCCUAGCUGGUCUGAGAGGAUGACCAGCCACACUGGAACUGAGACACGGCCCAGACUCCUACGGGAGGCAGCAUG